GGUGGCUUUGGGUUGUUUCCAUCCUAACACCAUGGAGUCCCGAACACUCUCAAGGACCGUGAUGUCAUAUGGUGGAGAUGGAGCAGCUGUUUCAACAUGAAUAACAUAAGCUGAGCAGCUGUCUUCAGGCAAAACAACCACAUAGCAAACUGAAAAGAUACUAUGAAGAUAAUGUAAUACUUAUGAUCACUCACCAAGUUUAUCGUCCACCACAGUGGCUUCAGUUGCUUCUGAAGGCUCACCGAUUCCAGCUGAAUUGCAACAGCGAACCCGGAAGCAAUAGGAUUUGCCUUCAGACAAAUCAAAAACUGCAAAGCGAGGGGACUUCACAGGAAUCUCAGUGUUCACCCUUUGCCAGUCCUCUGUGCCAGCAAUGCACUGCAGUCAAACCCAGAAAGAACAUUUCGAACAAAACUCUUUGAACACAGAGUCUAACCUGACAAGGCCUCCUACCUGGACCACGAAAGGCAAGCUGCAAGAAGGACAUCUUACUUCUCAGUCUGGCUCUAUCUGCAGGAUCCAGGGCAGCCACAGGCUCCGACACGCGGGAUGGUAGGCUAACACCAGCUUUGUUCACUGCUCGCACUCGGAAGAUGUAGGAGCGGCCCUCGAUCAGACCAGUGACAGGAAAACGAGCAAACUUCACCGGAGUCUCAUUGCAUUGGGUCCAGUGGGUGGUGCCAACCUCACACCUGCAAAACACAAACAGGACAAGUGGUGCUUGAAAGGGAAAAACACAAGCUCGGGGCACCCAGCCCUCAGAGUUCCAUUCACAUCCAUUGGCUGGAUAUUCCCAGCUUCUUCAGCAGUGUUGUCUGCUGGUGACACAGAAGCAGCUGCAGGAGGGGGGUCAGGGUUUUAGGGCCAUCUGGGAAUGCACUAAAUCCCUUGCAGCUGCACUCCUUCUUCCCCGAACUGAAGAGGGGAUAUGGGCACAGCUCACUUCAAACUGUUCAAACCCUUCAAAGCAUGCUCUGGGACUCCUGGGUGUGUCAGCUUCAGCAUAUCUGAAGGGAUGUGAAAUACAUGGAUCCUCUGCGGUUGCCAGAAGCAGAGUUCAUCAUAUGUGACCAACCCAGCUCUCAGAUGUCUGUGACGACAACUGAACACUCAGUAACAAAGCUCUGAAUUCAGGAGCAAAUGUAGAAUGAAGGAGGUGAAGACAAGAGGAGAAGCAAAAUGCUCUUUGCCUUGCAGUUGCACUUCGUAGUUACAUCCCUCAAUAGCCUAGUUUUAAAAUGAGGCAUUAUUUUUAAGAGUCUUGUCCUAUCUUUUGUUUAGAAUUAUUUAAUGAAUGUCAAAGAGCUAGAGCUUCCUAGUGCAGCACAGUUAUGGCAACAACUCAUACUCAUACACUGUCAAACCAGCAAAAGUUAUAUUCAAACUGAACCGAUGUUCAAUACUUGAUUGUAGUGAUGUUAGACUUUCUUUUCACAAAACAAUCUCUCCCUUUUAUAUUUAUUAAAUUUAUAUAGAGAGAGCAAAAUAUAUUGGCAUACUUACAAAAUACAUCUAUACAUAGAUAUAUAACAUAUACAUCUACAUGCAUCUAAAUAAACCCACAGGACUUCCAUGUUACUAAUGACAUAUUCUGGUACUAAAAUUGAAACAAAUAUUACCAGCUCUGAAAACUUCACUAUAAGUCUUGAAAUACUGAUUGAAUUUCUUAAAUCCCAAACUUCUGGAAUUCCACCUCUGUGUGACAGCUUCCAUUUUCACAUAGAAUCACAGAAUCAUUCAGGUUGGAAAAGACCAACCAUCAACCCACCAUGCCCACUGACCACGUCCCUCAGUGCCACAACCACACAUUUCUUGAACGCCUCCAGAGAUGGUGACCCCACCACCUCCCUGGGCAGCCUGUACCACUGCCUCACCACUCUUUCUGAGAAGAAUUUUUCCUAAUAUCCAACCUGAACCUUCCCUGGCACAACUUAAGGCCACAUUUUUAGAACUACCUAUUUCCAAAUCUUAUUGUUGAAGAGAAAAACAUGCAAGUAUAAUUUGCAUUAAGCUUAUGAACCUAAUUGCUCAAAAAACAAUUUGAGCUCAAAUUGCUCAAAAAACUAAUUUGCCCAAAAAGCCCAUAAAAGAAGUCCAACUCCCUCUGAGAUCACAUUUUGCUUUCUGGUACAUGGUAAACAUUUGGCUGCAGGAGGGAUAGCACUGAUGUGGGUAGAGCCAAUCCUCUGAGCCCCAACACCACAACAUCCUGAGGCCUCUUGAGCCUCACAGGAAUCAGUGAGGGCUGAGCAGCAUCUCACAUAAUCAUUUCUAUGUACUUAAGUGAAGCAGGCCUUUAUUAUUCUCACUACAGUUAUAUCAGGCCCAGACAGCCUAAACAAACAAACAAAAAAAACAUUCUUUCUGUAGCCAGCAAGAAGAGUGAAAAUAAAAAUGACCACUUUAUCUCAUGCUUUUAAAUGUGCUUUUAGGUUUUUGAGUUAGAAUAUGCAGCAAUACAAAUUUUCUACAUUGGCAUGCUUGCUGACCUGUCAAUGAAGUAUCCAAGGAUGGGGUUUCCUCCAUCAACAGCUGGCUGUUUCCAAGAUACGAUGACAUAAUCCUUGUUGGCAUCUAAGCACUGCACAUCCAGCGGUGCGCCAGGGGCUCCUGGGAUCUCAGCAUCAGCAUCUAUGAGGAUGGAGACACAGAUUUCCUGACAUGAAAUAAGGUUCUCUCAUAAUUAUUUUUCACGGACAAAACUCUAUUCCUGCAGAGCCAAGAGAAAGCUUCAAAAAUUAUUUGUUUUUAUACUGGUGGUAUCUUUUCAGGUUUUGAUUUUUGCAACAUUUACAAAUGCAUUUACGGCAUAUUGUAAACAUAAUUGAUCUAGGCAUUUUUAAUACAUGUUAGUACCAUGGAUUCUAAUGAGGUAGCUGCCAGAGACACAGCCAAAGUGCACAAAAACUUGGAAGACUGUCUAUUUACCUGCAAUGUUACUUAGGAGAUUAGGCUGGCAUUUUGUCUUGCAGUUAUGCAAGGACUCAGUCAAAAAGUUUUAGUCUCAGGAUAUACAGCACUGCAAUCUCAGUCACUGCCAUAUACCUCCAUGGAAAUACUGACUGUGGAAAUAUUACCACAGCUCUGACCCCCCCAUCAGAUCUCAUCUGCCCCUACAGUGAGAGCUGGGAGGCAAAACCUUUUCUCUUCAAACCUUUGUGUCAUUUUUGUUUUUGUUUUUUCCAAGGUCAUCCUCUGGAAUGAUCAGCAUUGUUAAACUACUAUUUGCUGGACACUCAGACACACAACAUCUGCUGAAGAAAAGACUAGUCUGAACACUCGUUUAUUUUUCAAAUGAAUGAAAUACCUUCACACAUAGUCUUUCAUUGUUCAGUUUGGGUUGGAUAUGAGCUGAAAAGGUAUCAAAACCUUUUGAAGCUGAAUUAUACCACAGAUUUUGGAAUAUAACCUUCCUUAAGAUGAGCAUAUUGUUCCUCUCAUGAAUUUGCCACAAAUAUAAGUUUGUUGGUGUUAAAGGGCUAAGACUCUAACAUCAGCUUCCAGACAAAUCUUACCCAAAGCUUAAAAAUCAGAGCAUAGUGCUGGGCACUGGUAAUUACACUGUUUACAUGGUCAUAAUUCAGCUUGAGAGAUAUAGCAAUUUUCUUGUAGGGCAAAAUAACCCUUGCAAGAAGAUUAUAUGAAAGAUUUUUAAAGGAGAGAGAUUGUUUCUCUAUAGAACAGAGAGUUUCUACAGACAUAAGUAACGUUAUUCAAGCCUCACUACUUCUAAAGACAACCUGACUUAAAACAAGACAGCUGUACAUACCUAAAGAAAAAUGUUUUGCAAACAAAUAUUCUUCCUGCAUUCCAUCUAAACCCCAUACUUUUGCAAAUGUUUGAUGCUUCAGGGUGCUACAGGAUUUUGUAUUACAGUUUAUGUCAAUUCCAGUUUUUUCUGCUUUUGGCUUUCAGAAAGAAAUGCCUUAUAUGAGUAUUUAUCAUGCUUGAUUAAAUAAAACAGUAGUCUUCAGAGGAAAAAUAAACAAACACUUCUCCCUGUAUGUUCCCUUUUAUGCACAGUUGCAUCACACAGAAUUUUUGAAGCUGUGCGAAAGUUUUUGAGUCCAGUUUCUAACUACAGCUAACUAGGUAUAAUUUUUAAAAUGCACAGAGUAACCAAUCCAUUUAACAUAGCAAAAUAAUAAGAACAUUGGGGCAAUAACAAGAUAUCUUCAAUGAUCUCCCUAUGAAAGGCUUGAGUUAUCUAUAUCUCUUGCUUGACAGAACACGAGACACCACUGUUUCUUUCCAAGACAGACUAGGAAAUAGCUGGGACAAUCAGCAUUGCUCAUCAGCCUCAUUGGUGCUAGGAUUUCAUCCCUGGCUGCUUGCUAACGAAUGCUGACCUGUAGCCAUGGUAAGAGGAACCCAUUUUCUCUGAACCUGCCAAGCCCUGGUGUUAUGAGCUUGAUGAGCACCCUGCUCACGUCCAUCAACACAGAAGGAUUUCUACAUGUGAUGCAAAAAGACAGCUCCUUGCACUUAAGCAGCUAGCUAUGAGUUUGUACUGAACCUGUCUACAAAUUAGGAGGAACAGUGAGAAGAAUGGUGGCCAAAUGAGGCUGUGCAGAGAAUGUAAGUAGAACAUAAUUAAUCUAAUUAGAAUUUGGCAAGUACACCAGUUGGCUAGUAAUAUACUCUUGUGAAAGGGGUCGCUGGUUCACAGUCAGGUCAUACUUUCAUUGCUGUAAGUGCUAAAAGAUGUAGCAGGAAUGAGGGUGAUCAUUUAUUUAUAUGGUAGCCCCAUUUAAAACCAGGCAAGGAAAACAAUCCCUAAUUCUUCUCCUUGUUGCUCAGUCCCACACACACGUUCCAUCAAACUCUUUCCUCAGGAGACAAAAACAUUUGAUUCAGCUGCAUUUUCCAAGCAGGCUGUUAUCUCACACAGUUUUGCUAAACUUGGGAACAUGGUACCACUCUGAACAAAUUCUCAGAGCCAAAGAUUUCCAGAGUCUUUUGAAUUAGCAUUACAUGCUUCAGCUGCUUUUAGCAGCUGGGACAGAUAUAGAGUCAGCACGUAACCUGAUAAGCCACUGCUCUUCUUAAAGAAAUACUUGCUCUAAUAGAAAUACAAGGAAGUUUUUCAUGGUACAAGCAAACAACACCCAGAGGAAUAACAUUUUAAUUCUGUACUUCAAUUAAGGAGUCAGAUUUUCUGCUUUUCCUUACAGAGUCACAAAAGGAUGAGGUUAGCAGAGCCUUCUGGGUCCAUCAGGUCCCAUCCCUAUUCCAGAAGAGACACACAGAACAGGGGUCCAGGAUUGUGUCUAGCUGGGCUUUGAAUAUCUUCAAGGAUUUCUUCUCCAGAGCCUCUCCAGGCAACUUGUACCAGUGUUCAACAACCAUCACAGUAAAAAAGUGUUUUCUUAAAUUUGAAAUGUUGAAAUGGACUUUUCCUUUUUUUUUGUCCAUUGUCUCUUGUCCUGUCAUUGGGUACCACAGAAGUGUCUCACUCUAUACUCAUUACUCCUCCCAUUAGGCAUCUGUACACAUUGAUGAGAUACCCUUUGAUCCCUCUUGUCCCCACACAGAACAGACACAGUUCUCUUAGCCUCUCCUCAUGUGUCAGACGUUCCUUUCACUUUGCAGCCCUUCACUGGACCCUCUCCAGUAUGUCCAUGUCUCUUUUGUACUGGGGAGUCCAGAACUAGACUCAGCACUCCAAACACGUCUUAGAAGUGCUGAGCAGAAGGGAAGGAUUACCUCCCUCCACCUGCUGGUGACCUUGUUCCCAAUGCAGCCAAGAAUAUUACCGGCAUUUGCCACAGGGACUCAUUGCUGGUUCAUGUUCACCCAAUUAUCCACUAUGAUCCCAAGACCCUUUUCAGCAAAGCUGCUUUCCAAAGAGUCAGUCCCCAGUCUGUAACGGUGCAUGUGGUUACUCUUCUCCAGGUGGUGAUCUCUAUGUUUCCUUUCUACUGUACUUUUUUUGAGCAUUGUGCAUUAGUGAAAACCUCUCAAACAGAGCAGAAAAAUCUUGAUCUGCAGUUCAGCUAGUGUGAGAUGGUUAAAAAAUACAUUUUAAAGUUACUUUAUAGAGUUAUCCUUUUUUGAAUUAUAUUUGGUACUGUUCGCAAGCUGAAGAUGAGAAAGAGCGAAGUUACAUCAACAACAAAAAUUUCAUCCCCAGAAUGCCAAUAUAGUUUACAAGCUUUCUAAAAUGUGGCACCAAAGCUUGGGGAAUGCAUUCAGUUUUCCAAAGAUAACACUUGAAAGCUGUAAUGCUAAAAUCAAUUGUAUAAAAUAUUUAUAUAAAUUAAUAUAAUUCAUUUUAUGUAAGCUAUUGUAUUAUGCAAAAAUUAUAUAUAUGAAUUGGAAAUAAACACCUGAAAUGACUGAGA